CAUAAAUGGGACCUUCUGUGAUACUGUUCAUUCUGCCUAUGGCGAACAGUGUCUAUCAUCAUAUUCAGAGACUAUUACCUCGGAAACUUCCAUCUCAUCACCAAGCUCACCAGAUUUACCCUCAGAAGUAAAAUUUACCAAGGUCAUUGAGGCCCCAGAAUGCUAUCUAGUAAAGGCAA